rnacentral:rRNA from 1 species
AUUGAACGCUGGCGGCAGGCCUAACACAUGCAAGUCGAACGGUAACAGGAAGCAGCUUGCUGCUUCGCUGACGAGUGGCGGACGGGUGAGUAAUGUCUGGGAAGCUGCCUGAUGGAGGGGGAUAACUACUGGAAACGGUAGCUAAUACCGCAUAAUGUCGCAAGACCAAAGAGGGGGACCUUCGGGCCUCUUGCCAUCGGAUGUGCCCAGAUGGGAUUAGCUUGUUGGUGGGGUAACGGCUCACCAAGGCGACGAUCCCUAGCUGGUCUGAGAGGAUGACCAGCCACACUGGAACUGAGACACGGCCCAGACUCCUACGGGAGGCAGCAGUGGGGAAUAUUGCACAAUGGGCGCAAGCCUGAUGCAGCCACGCCGCGUGUAUGAAGAAGGCCUUCGGGUUGUAAAGUACUUUCAGCGGGGAGGAAGGGAGUAAAGUUAAUACCUUUGCUCAUUGACGUUACCCGCAGAAGAAGCACCGGCUAACUCCGUG